UGCCAGCCGCCGCGGUAAUACGUAGGGUGCAAGCGUUGUUCGGAAUUAUUGGGCGUAAAGCGUAUGUAGGUGGAUUUGUAAGUCGGGUGUGAAAUCCCACAGCUUAACUGUGGAACUGCGCUCGAAACUAUGAGUCUAGAGGAAGGUAGAGGCAGGUGGAAUACCAGGUGUAGAGGUGAAAUUCGUAGAUAUCUGGUGGAACACUCGUGGCGAAGGCGGCCUGCUGGACCUCUCCUGACACUGAGAUACGAAAGCGUGGGGAGCAAACAGGAUUAGAUA
rnacentral:rRNA from 1 species